UGGAUUAGUGGCGAACGGGUGAGUAACACGUGAGUAACCUGCCCUUCACUUUGGGAUAACUCCGAGAAAUCGGGGCUAAUGCUGGAUAUGGCCUUGGCCCGCAUGGGUUUUGGUGGAAAGUUUUUCGGUGGGGGAUGGGCUCGCGGCCUAUCAGCUUGUUGGUGGGGUAAUUGGCCUACCAAGGCGUCGACGGGUAGCCGGCCUGAGAGGGUGGACGGCCACAUUGGGACUGAGAUACGGCCCAG
rnacentral:rRNA from 1 species